CCCUUCCAGCAAUCAAGGUUGGGGAUGAAGUCCGGCUCCCGUAGGAGUCCGGACGAAGUCUACCUGCAGCUGGAGUCGGAGAUGAGAUCCGGCUCCUGUUGGAGUCUGAUCGAAGUCUACCUGCAAUUAAAGUCAGGGAUAGAGUCUGGCUCUCUUAGGAGUUCAGACGAAGCUUACCAGCAGUCAAGGUCGAGGACGAAGCCCAGCUCCCGUGGGAGUCCGGGCGAAGCCUUCCAGCAAUCGAGGUUGGGGAUGAAGUCCGACUUCCGUAGGAGUCCGGACGAAGUUUGCCGUUGGUGAAGUUCAGGCAUUGGCGAGGUCCGAGAUAGUUCGGAUUAGAGUUGAACCUGGCUGGAAGGAGUCUGGAAGAAAUUCGGGGAGCAGCCGGCGGUCGUAGAGGAUUGGCUGCCGGCAUAGCUCAAUGAGUGCUUGGGGUGGCUUGAUAGAUGACCGGGGGGACUCAUGUUGAAGGAGUUCGGGUGGUGCAGGGGGAGUUCGUCCGUCGGGGGAAUUCAGUCGGCACUGUAGAAAUCCGGCUGUUGGAGAAGUCCGGAGAGAUACCAUCUGCCAUCGAGGGCCGAAGGAAUCCUGGGAGGGUCAAUCCUGGUAAGAACUUCGGCUGAGGGUAUUUUAUACCCAACAGUCAAAAAUUAUGUCACGUGAUAGCUAUAUUA
rnacentral:lncRNA from 1 species